rnacentral:ribozyme from 1 species
GGGUCGGCAUGGCAUCUCCACCUCCUCGCGGUCCGACCUGGGCAUCCGAAGGAGGACGCACGUCCACUCGGAUGGCUAAGGGAGAGCCACGAGCUCCUCGACAGAUCAUAAUCAGCCAUACCACAUUUGUAGAGGUUUUACUUGCUUUAAAAAACCUCCCACACCUCCCCCUGAACCUGAAACAUAAAAUGAAUGCAAUUGUUGUUGUUAACUUGUUUAUUGCAGCUUAUAAUGGUUACAAAUAAAGCAAUAGCAUCACAAAUUUCACAAAUAAAGCAUUUUUUUCACUGCAUUCUAGUUGUGGUUUGUCCAAACUCAUCAAGAU